CCAGCUGCCGCUUCCGUUUGUUGAGCACAGAAUGUACGAAUGCCGGCUAGGGGGCCAAAGGUGGGGACAGUGGCCACCUCUCGUAUCUCUGACCAUUCAGCCGCCAGCCAUACCCAGGCCGCUGCCAGCGGUCCCAUGAGCCUGGCGUUCCUGUCGCCCCUUCUCCCCACAGUUCGUCUCCUUGUUCUCCCAGCCGGGCUCCUAGCUCCUCAGAGACGCAGGACCAGCUCAGAUCUCCUGUCCAGCACCUGCCGGGCUAGUAAGCGAGAAGGCCAGGAGAAAGGGUGUCUGUCGCUCCAGAAGGAACAGGACCUCCCUACUCCAGGAAGGAGUCCGACGCUCAGUGGGGGCUGCAGGCGCAGCGGACGGUGGGGGCAGCAGCAGCAGCGGCAGGAGGAGAAGCAAUGGCUUCUCUGGAGGUGGCACUGUCUGUCUCCUUGGGCGUCUCCCUAACAUAGUCAUGAUUCAAAAUCUGUGCUCACCACCAGUGCAAGGUCACAGCGGGAAAUUGUAAUUAUCUAAGCGGAUUCUUUCUUAAUUGUACAUCUAUGUUUUAUAUAGAAGUGUUUUUGUUGUUGUUGUUGUUGUUAAUGUUUCUCUCAUUCUUGUUUUGAAAUUUCAUAUUACUGUGCUUCUUUUUUGGGGUAGCUUCUUUGACAUUUGUGUUUUGUGAAUUUGGUUUUACCUACAUAUUAUGAUUUUGGAUGUAAAUCUGCAACUCUAUGUACACAUCGAGUCGAUGUGGGGUUUAAUUAAAAUAUGAAUCAGUCAUAUCUACCACCAAUAAAAUCAUGUGUUUGUUUGCCUCUAUAAAUAUACUCCAUUUAUUCUUAUCUUGCAUAUUUCUCUUCUUGGCUGAUGUCAAAAGUUUGUUUUAACUUGUUCAGGAGAGUAGUCAUGUAAAUAGUCUUAAUUUGCCCAUGUAUUUUUUGAUGAAUCUAUAUUAUCUUUGUGUGAGAAAAACACGCUUAUAAUUUGAAGGUAAUUUUCUGAAAAGUUUAUAACUCUGUAUCUCUUUUAUGUAUCACUUUACAAUAUUUUAAUUGUAAUAAAGCACAACAAAAU
rnacentral:lncRNA from 1 species